rnacentral:rRNA from 1 species
CCUACGGGGGGCAGCAGUGGGGGAUAUUGCACAAUGGGCGCAAGCCUGAUGCAGCGACGCCGCGUGGGUGAAGAAGUACCUCGGUACGUAAAGCCCUAUCAGCAGGGAAGAAAAUGACGGUACCUGACUAAGAAGCUCCGGCUAAAUACGUGCCAGCAGCCGCGGUAAUACGUAUGGAGCAAGCGUUAUCCGGAUUUACUGGGUGUAAAGGGAGCGUAGGCGGCAUACCAAGCCUGAUGUGAAAACCCGGGGCCCAACCCCGGGAGUGCAUUGGGAACUGGCAAGCUAGAGUGUCGGAGAGGCAG